rnacentral:lncRNA from 1 species
AUUUAUAUAAAAGAUAGGCAAGUCUCUGAAUAGUACUGCUUCGUGUUCGUGCAAUAAUUUUAGCAAUUUAAAGGAUUCACAAUGAAGGGGCUUCAUCUGAUAUUUUUCUUACUAAUCGGCUGCUUUUCGUUAUAUAACGCGGUACCGGUGAUCGGACCUGCACCACAGCCUUUUCUUGAUACUAUAAAGAGAUGUGACAAGUCGAAGGGCUGUAUACUUAAUGAAUCCGGAGAUGUAAACGUUAAUAACAACAAGCAAAGCUGAUAUAAAUCUUAGGAAGUGAUCAUUCGCGCCCCGGGCGGAGGCACGACAAUGUAACAAACAAG